CUCAUCGGAGUCAUGAUGACGACUCCGAUCUCAUAACCCCGAUAAUAAAGCACCACAUAACACCUCCAGUCCGCAUUUAUCGGGCAGUAGUUAAUAUUCCAUUGGCUCAACCAAGUCGCUAAAUAAGAUGCCGACGUUGAUCCUUGGUUGAUCCUCUUUAAUUUGCAUAUCAGAUACUUACAGCAACUCUUCCGAACCUAUGUAUCAGCCUGCCUUGACAGCUUUGCUCCAGUCAUCCACAACGCCCUUGCCGUCUUUCCAUCCCCUUCUUCUCCCAAGCCCUCUCCCAUCUCUCACAGCCUCGCCUGCUUUCAGUUCCUCUACAUUUAUUCCGACGCUCGCAGCUACAUCGUGAUAUGCCUCUUUCAGCUCUUGCCUAUAUGCAUCUCCUCGGGCGAGGGACGUCGAUAGGAUAGUAUCGUAAGCUUCACGGCGACUCACCCUGCUAACGAUCCUCCAACCCAAGUCAUCAGUCCUGGGAUCCAUCUCGGGGCUUUCCCCCCUUUCCCACCAUCAACCUCCCCGUCGACUGGGGCUGGGUCAUUCAAGAUGGCCAUCUUAUUAACUAAGCCAUACAGCUCCCUGUAAGGCUCCUGUGUACGUUUUUUCCACAACAAAGCUUGUUCUUUUCGGCUCGCUUGGCUAUUAAGAGGAGACAGCGAUACUGGAGUAUCAUCGGAAGAUUGUGGAAGUGGCAGGAGAGACCGGAGAAGGGAUAUCCUAAAUCGAGGAAUGAAUCCCGGAAGAGACGCAGAGCCACCUGUUAUCAGUAUGCUGGAUAGAAUACUUGGACGAAGGUCAAUUGGUAACUGCAAUAGCACAGCAGUUAGUGCCGUUUAUAUCGAAUUUCGCAAGCACUAUAAUUGUGCCAUACCCCAUUUGAAAUGAGCCUCCCACAUCGGAUACAGGGAAGAUCAUAUCCUUGGAUGAAGAACUGGAGGCGAAGCGUGAUUCCAAGGAAUCUAUCAGCCGAGGGUUUUCCAGUUUCCUUUUUCCCCCGGGUACGCCAGCCUGUGUAUAAUCGUUGAAUUCUACGUCCAUCUCCAUAUCCGCAUCCCUUUCUGGUUCAAUAAAUACACCACCAACCAACAGCCCCUCCGUAACAACCCUCUCCACCAGUGUAUCUGUCAAAAGAUCUAAUGGUAUACCCCGUAGCUUCUCUCUGGAUAAAUCAUCAAGUGAUUUGGGAGGGGCAAUGUAGAUUGCGUGACGAGAAAGUAGGGACCUCAGUCGUGUAUGUAAACGCCGCCCAGCCAGAGGCGUUGAGCGCGAUAAGGGGAAAAGCGGCCGCGAAUUGUAGACCUGAGCUUGAUCAGCAAGGAUCACACAGUCUAUUGGUACUUGUAUUUACAGGUGUGAUAGUAGUCUCUAACCACCCUACGUCGACAACGAGCCCAGUUAUACGACCGCAAGCGGCAAGUGCCAGAAGACUCGAAGGUGUAAACGCAACAGAUGGGACUCGAAGAUUGUCGAAGAGGGUGUGGGCAAUAUGUUCUUUGAUAUAUGUGGGUAGGAAUGUAUUCUCCGCUAUAACCACUUU
rnacentral:sRNA from 1 species